rnacentral:tRNA from 1 species
AUUCAAGUAGCUUAAUAUAGAGCAUAACACUGAAGAUGUUAAGGUAAUUAUUUAAUUCUUGGAUG